UCACUCAUGGCCGUUUGUUAUUUCUUUUGUCUUCAUUGACAAAAGUUUAUAAAAGAGAAAGGUGAGUACGAACAGUAAGGGAGAAUGAAAGAUUAGGAAAUAAAAGGAAGGAGAAAAACAAGAGAAAUACUUUAGUGUGGGUGUAGAUCAACGGUGAAAUAAUGUCGGAUCGAUAUGAAAUUUUAGUAUGAUAAUCAUGAGAGUCAAAUCUUCAUAUCUAGUGGUCUCAAUUUCAAUUUGAGGUAAGUAAGAGGUAUACAAUAUACUUUCCAAAAUUUCGGAGUUAUUUCUUCGAUUAUCUAAUUUUAUACUCUUUUUGAGCAAGUGUGCUAUCUGUUAAAAUCC
rnacentral:lncRNA from 1 species